AAUAAAUUCAAUACUUCUACUAAUAUCUCCUGUAUUUUGUCUUGAUGAAUCAAUGAAGUGUACUUAUAUUCUGAUUGGGUUUGUGAGGUUCAUAAUAAUCUAAAUGCACACUCGUUAAUGCCACAUACCAAAUCUAAAUGAACCAAAAAUGAUGUGCUUUAGGAUGUCCUGUUUGAUUUAUGCGUUCUUGUUGUUCAAUUUAAAUUUGAAAUCAAGUGUCCUAGGCUUAUGAAGAUUUAUGGGUUUUAUUUUUCUUACAGGGAUUACCAAAGAGGAUCAUGAGAAAAUAUGGUGAGAAUCUCCCUAAAAGAUGCUUCUGAGUGUCAAAUGGUGCAAUUCAUUGGCCUGUGGAAUAGGAAAAAUGUGAUGAGAUGGUUUCGUUAUCAAAGGGUUGGAAUGAAUUUGCAGAGCAUCACUCUAUAUGUGAGGGCCAAAUUUUGGUCUUUGAUUUGAAUGGACUCCAUUUUCCAUGUAAUAAUAUUUGAUUAUUGCACGUCUAAGAUAGAAUACUUGCCAACAAAUGCUGAUCUGAGGAACCAAGCUUGGCAAUUGUGGAUUUGUCUUGCUGGAAGUGAAUUGCAUUCACCCAAGUGUCCUCAUCUUUGUAAGGCAAGGAAUCUCAUCAGGUGUGCAGAGUUCAUGGCCCAUGUACAAUCAUCAGCACAGAGUUUGGGGAGAGAUGGCGAACUGCUCUUCAUGAGAUUUUCGAGGUAAGCUGAAAGAGCCACGAUGGUGCAGAGCUCUUGAACUGGCCAAGUAUCCUUUCUUCCAAAUUGCAGUGACGUGAAUGUAUUGGAGAAAAGUAACGUGAUACACAUCAAGAAAAGUCCGCAGACCAUGGCUCUCAUAUUUCCCGACAAAUCUUGGCCGGUGAAGCUCAUUAGCCAUGAACAUUAUGGGAAGUUAUUUUCCGGUUGGGCCACAUUAACAAGAGAAACUUCUCUGAAGGCAGGAUACAUACCUGAUUGAGCUCAUUAGAAGGGAAGAUAUCAUGUUCUGAGUAUCCAUCUUCAGAACCACUGAGAAGACUUGGGAUCAGGAUACUAUGCAAAAGGACACAGCAGAGGAAGAAUCCUUUAGGCCAUUUUUGGUGGAACAUAACUUCAGAUUUCCUAGGCUGAAAUCUGCUUCCAAUUCGGCAAAUCAGAUGAAAGCGUGAGUUUUGUUCUAAUGAAUGGAAUGGUCCUGAAUGUGGAUGAUACCUUCCCUUGAUCUUAGUGUUAGCUGUCAUCAUGUGGGCACGAGUCAUGAGAUGGAGGAAACUGAUUGCUAAUGUCAAAUUAAGUGCUUCUUCAAUGUUUCUAGUGGCUCAACCUGACAUUUGGAGCUGUAAAGUGUAGUAACAUCGAAUGCACUUCCCUUCAGCCA